AGAAUCAACGCUGGCGGCGUGCCUCAGACAUGCAAGUCGAACGCGAAAGCUUUCUUCGGAGAGCAAGUAGAGUGGCGCACGGGUGAGUAACACGUGGGUAAUUUACCUUUGGGUGGGGAAUAACAGCCGGAAACGGCUGCUAAUACCGCAUAAUGCAGCGGCAUCUUAAUGAUGACAGUUGUUAAAGCGAGGGAUCGCAAGACCUCGCGCCAGAAGAGAAGCCCGCGGCAGAUUAGCUAGUUGGUGAGGUAAUGGCUCACCAAGGCGACGAUCUGUA
rnacentral:rRNA from 1 species